AGCCCUCACAACAGGCACAAAGCAGCCACCUAACAUGCCAGUAAAGGAUUGGAACUAAGAAAAUAAGAGCGCAAAAAGGAAAUGCAAAACUAAGAAGAAUAUGAACAAAUUCCAAAACUGUCAUGCGGAAUCACUACACCCUGGAGCCAACAAACAUUAAGAGCUAAAAUGUGCCCGAGUGACCUGCACUGCUGUCCAGGUUCCUUCCUGCCCCAAAGGCUCUGUUUUGACCAAGAGCUAUACCCCCCCUGCUGGUUGCUGCCCUUCUAUCCUACCGCAGUGCACCUGUGACCUCCGGGCCUGCCACUAUCCCCAGUGCCCAAGCGGUCAGCGUGCUUUGCCGCUCAGCAAGGCCAGCGGUCAGCCUGGCGACUGCUGUGAUGUCGUUGAAUGCCAGAAAGAAGUGCAGUGUCAAAGGGUUCCUGUCUGGUCACACGUCCAGAGGGAAAAGGUUCAACAGUUCAUUGAUGGGAAUGCUUUUUAUGUGUUCCAUUCUGCCAGCCCGGAGCGUAAUCGAGUCCGGCAGGCUGGCGGUGGCUGAAUGGUUGCCAUGGGGGCCAAGGGAUCAGUGUUUUGAUAACAAGUGUCGGCUGCUCUUUGUGCGUUAGGCUUGAUGCCUUUUGUGCAGCCUUUACUGUCUGUUAGUGCAUGCAUGCCUGAGUGUAAUGACACAAAGUUCCAUAGACACACAGCGAAACUUGGUGUCACAGAGACCAAAAAAAUGUAUUUAAUUACAUUAAACAAUGAAAAAAGAUUGCCUUUUGAUGCUUUUAGGAUUUUCUUCUGCCUAGCAAACUCGUUGCCAAUUUCCAGCACACCAAUGAUUAGCAGUCAGUAGGGGUGUAACAGUACGUGCAUUUGUAUUGAACCGUUUCGGUAAGGGGGGUUCGGUUCGAAGGUGUACCAAACGAGUACACAUGCUAGCAGCGACCGGGCUAGGACAACAUGUAAAAGCCAGAGCUGGAAGACCCUCCUGCCUCGUUAAGAUCUCCCGUUUGGGAACACUUUGGCUGCGCGAUACAACAAUGGAGGACGGAGGUUUCACCCUUCACUCUACCCGGCAGUGGGUCUCCACAGCUUUUAUAUAUGUUGACCACAUUAACCCUGGCAAUGGACCCUGUGUGUAUAUGUAUGUUAUGCCAUUGUUUACAAAUUU